GAAUUGGUGAGGGUCAUCUAGGUAUGACAUCUGUCACUCCAUUGAUCAUGUUGAUUUGGCCUAUCUGACCAGGUAGGGAGUUGUCCCUUGUUGCCUCACCCCUCCAUAUGCCUCUCUCCCGAAGCCGCAUACUUAGUGAAAGAGGAUGGGGUCAAAGGUACAUGAGUAGCUGCCUAGAACCUCCAAGCAAGAGCCCUAGAACUGCUGAGGCCUUAUUUGAAGGUGAAGUGUAUAUGUGCUUGCAGGACAGCAAGAAGUGUGGAUUUUUUUUUUUUCUG
rnacentral:snRNA from 1 species